GACGAAGGGGCUAGCGUUGUUCGGAAUUACUGGGCGUAAAGCGCGUGUAGGCGGUUGCCCAAGUCGGGUGUGAAAGCCUUGAGCUCAACUCAAGAAAUGCACUCGGUACUGGGUGACUAGAGGACCGGAGAGGAUAGUGGAAUUCCCAGUGUAGUGGUGAAAUGCGUAGAUAUCGAGAGGAACACCUGCGGCGAAGGCGGGUUGCUGGGCUGACACUGACGCUGAGGCGCGAAAGCUAGGGGAGCGAACGGG
rnacentral:rRNA from 1 species